GUGUCAGCAGCCGCGGUAAUACGUAGGUGGCAAGCGUUGUCCGGAUUUAUUGGGCGUAAAGGAUGCGCAGGCGGAUAUUUAAGUGAGAUGUGAAAUCCCACGGCUUAACUUGGGGGCUGCAUUUCAAACUGGAUGUCUUGAGUGCAGGAGAGGAAAGCAGAAUUCCUAGUGUAGCGGUGAAAUGCGUAGAGAUUAGGAAGAACACCAGUGGCGAAGGCGGCUUUCUGGACUGCAACUGACGCUGAGGCAUGAAAGCAUGGG
rnacentral:rRNA from 1 species